CAUCUUUACACAUAUCCUUGUUUAAAAGUAGCCUUUAAACUUGUUGUAGAAGUUUUUUCUUCAAACCUUGUAAGUUUGAUUUGAAGAUCCCACAUCCCACAUUGUUGUAUUAUAUGGCGUUUGGCUUGAGAAUGCAUUGGGCACCUGACUUUGGAAGAUAAAAGGAAAAUUAUAACAACAAGUCCUAACAAUUCUAAUAGAUUCUUAAAUAAAUUAUAAUUAAAGAUUAGCAAAUAUAAUCAAAUAUCAAAUUAAAUUCAAUCAAAAUUUCAAAGAAAUUAUGUAAGAAAUACAAAGUAUUCUUAAAGAACCUUUAAAAAAAUAAAAAAGAAAUAAUAUAAAAUUCAAAAAUAUACUAAAAUAGAAAUCUUCAUAAAAUAUUAAAAUAGAAAUCUUAAUUAAAUCUUAGUUAAAUCUUAAAUAAAUCCUAAAUAAAUCCUAGUUAAAUCCUAAUAAAUCAUAAUCAAAUCCUAAUCAAAUCCUAAACAAACCUUAACCAAAUCCUUAUCAAACCCUAAAUAAAUCCUAACCAAAUCCUAAACAAAUCCUAAAUAAACCUUAACCAAAUUCUAGUCAAAUCCUAAAUAAACUUUAACCAAAUCCUAGUCAAAUCCUAAAAAAAUACUAAACAAAUCCUAAAUAAAUCCUAACCAAAUACUAAAUAAAUCCUAAUCAAAUCCUAAACAAAUUCUAACAAAAACUUAGUCAAAUCUUAACAAAUCCUAAUCAAAUCCUAAUCAAAUCCUAUCCAAAUCCUAUCCAAAUCCUAAAUAAAUCCUAAAAAAAUCCUAACCAAAUCCUAAAUAAAUUCUAAACAAAUCUUAAUCAAAUCUUAGUCAAAUCCUAAUCAAAUCUUAAAUAAUUCCUAAAAAAAUCCUAAUCAAAUCUUAAAUAAAUCCUAAAAAAAUCCUAAUCAAAUCUUAAAUAAAUCCUAAUCAAAUCCUAAAUAAAUCCUAACCAAAUCUUAAUCAAAUCCUAAUCAAAUCCUAAAAAAUUCUUAACUAAACACUAGUCAAAUCCUAAAAAAAUCCUAAUCAAAUCCUAAUCAAAUCCUAAAUAAAACCUAACAAAAUCCUAAUCAAAUCCUAACCAAAUUCUAAUCAAAUCCUAAUCAAAUCCUAAACAAAUCUAAAUAAAUCUUAACCAAAACCUAAUCAAAUUCUAAACAUACCUCAACCAAUCCUAAAUAAUUCUAAGUAAUUCCUAUAGCAAAUUUAAACCUCAAUAACAAAUGAAUGAACCAUUGAUUUUAAUUUAAAUUUUUCACAACUCUUCACAAUUAAGUUGAAAAUAAGCACAAAUAUUUUGAAGAAGAUCAAACUCAUCAAAAAGAAGUUUAAUCCUAAUAUUUCCUCAGAUGUUGGCUAGACUCCUUCUUCAAUUUAAAUGUUGAAUUUUUAGUGUCAAUAUCUCCUUAUUAAAUUAUUCGAUUGAUUUCAAAUUUAUCACAUAUGUAGGAAAAUAAGUGUAUUAUCCACAUAGACAAUUUUUACUCCAAUCCAAUCAAUAGAUUAUAAAAAAUCUAAGAAAUCUUUACUAAACUUAUAACUCUACUUCCUAAGAUUGUGACCCACUUAAACCUCAAUAACCCUUGAUCCAACACUUUGAUCAAGCUCAAACUCACAACAUAUAUUGAACACAUAUAUACUCGCAAAUCCU
rnacentral:lncRNA from 1 species